rnacentral:rRNA from 1 species
UCGAGUCUUUGAACGCAAGUUGCGCCCGAAGCCGUCAGGCCGAGGGCACGUCUGCCUGGGCGUCUCGCAACGCGUCGCCCCCGACCCCCGCGCGCGGGCGUCGGGGGGCGGACACUGGCCCCCCGCGAGCCGCGGCUCGCGGUCGGCUUAAAAUCGAGUCGCCGGCGACGGACGGCGCGACGAGUGGUGGAGUCUCGACGCGCGACGCGUCGUGCCGCGCCCGUCGCCGCGGGCGGCCCCGAACGACCCCGGAGCACCGGCCGCGGCCCCGCGGGAUGACGGAUUACCUUCAGGCUUAAAGCAUA